CAUCUCAACCAGUGCUUUUGUAUGCUGCUUUUGCCAUGGCUCUGAUUUUUCCAUUUGAUAUAUUCUAUUUGUCAUCUCGCUACUUUUUUUUAAGGACUGUUUGGCGGAUAGUUUUCCCAUUCCAGGCAAUAUCAUUUCCUGACUUCUUUCUGGCUGAUAUAUUCACUUCUAUGUCCAAGGUAUUUUCAGAUUUGGAGCGUUCAGUUUGUAGAAUGGUUCAUCGCCAGGUUGCUACCAUUGCAUGGUUUGAAGCCGAUUCUGUAUGUGGAAGUCAUGCUGUUGCAAUUCCCAUUGUUCUUGUAUUGCCUUAUCUUUUCCGUCUGUUUCAAUGUCUUCGGCAAUAUAAGGACACUAAAGAGAAGACUACCCUGUUGAAUGCGUUGAAAUAUUCGACUGCAGUACCUGUGAUAUUUCUCUCAGCCCUUAAGUAUCACGUCUUCCCUGACAACUGGGUUAAUAUUUAUCGUCCUUUAUGGCUUCUGUCUGGUGUGGUGAACUCGCUCUACUCAUUCUAUUGGGAUCUGACAAGAGAUUGGGACUUGAGUUGCUUCACUCGGAUUUUCAAGUUCAGCAGACCAAAUGCAUUAUCAUACUUGUUAUAUGGGCGGAAAUGGGUCUACUUUUGGGUAAUUGGAACCAACCUCAUCCUCCGGUGCACGUGGACAUACAAGCUUUCUUCCCAUCUCCGACACAAUUAUCUCACAGUGUUUGCAAUAACCGCUCUUGAGAUCUUCCGUCGUUUCCAGUGGGCUUUCUUCCGUGUAGAGAAUGAGUGGAAUAAGAUGAACUCUAAACAAAAUAUUCAACUCUCCACGAUUGACAAGCCAAAUGAUGAACAAAAAUUACUCGACCCAAAUGGCUACAGUGUAUAGACUAUGGAACAUUACAGAUCCUACCAACUUCAUUGGAGUCAACUGAACAACUUUCUUCAAGCCAGGCAGAAAGGUUUUAUGGGAUCCCAUUUUUCCUCUUUAUGAUACCAGAAUUUCUUGUCAAUAGUAUAGUACGACCUUGCAGGUCAAGAGACAUUAGAUAAAAUACAAGAUUCAACCAGCAUUCCUUUUCGGGGAAACUAAUCCCUCGUAGUUCUUUGUUGGGCAUUUAAAUCAUUUUUUUGUUAGAUACUAAUGCCUAUUUUUGAGGUAAAUGUUUUGAACUUUAUGGUAUCCCGAG
rnacentral:misc_RNA from 1 species